rnacentral:misc_RNA from 1 species
AUUGCAGAAAAUAAAUUAAAAAAUAUAGGAAAAAGAAAUGGAGGAGUUGUGGGCCCGUGGUGCUAUGGUGUUGGUGCUGCUGCGGCUCUGCAAGGUCGCGUUUUGAAAUUCUUUGUAUGCCUCUUGGGCUGCUUUCGACAUGGCUGCUGCUAUUUUAGAUGAGUGCAAACUUAAAAAAUAGCAUUAUGAGUUGUAGGGUGUUGAUCAGAAAAAUUCAUGGGAAUGAAACCCUUGUGGAUUAAAGAGAAACAUAAAUGGAAAGUUUAAAAUAGAGAGAGAGGAAGCUCUGCUUGAAAUGUGAAAAAGAAAGAGGAGAGGGGGAGGCUGCUGCAAGUGAAACAGUGAAAGAGAGAGGAAGGCUAGGGUUAGGAUUUAAAGAUGUAUAUAUAUAGUGCAAUUGGACAGUUGAUAUUAUAUUGGAUGAAUGGUUAGGAUUGUUUGUUAAAAAAGAGAAUUAAAAAGUGUAGAUAGUGGGAGUUGAACAUGCAACCUUCAAAGAGAUUUAAGGCAAUUUUACCACUAAGCUGAAAGAGGUUUAUAUACCAUAUGCCUGUGCCAAUUUAGUGUUAUAUCAGUUUGGUUGUUUUGAUUUUUUCCCUUUAAAAACUGAACCGAACCGAAAUAAUUGAAACUUUUAAAAAAUUAAGACGAAACCAAACUGAUUAUUAUUAAAAUCGAAAUCAAUCGUUUCGGUCAGUUUAUUCGGUUUGAACUGAA